rnacentral:misc_RNA from 1 species
AAACAGAAAGCAGUCAUAGGUGAGGUAACCACUUCACAGUUGCCCAAAUUCAGAUGUGUUGACAUGCAGAAAACACGGUUUUGUGACUUGAGAUUUCGUCUUGGUGCUGGAUGCCUCUACUGUCAUCAGGGAGACUGCACGCAUACCAUUGUUAUCAGAGACCUAAGAUUGAUUCAUCCCGAGGAUGUUCAGAACCGGGCAGCUUAUCCAAUAUUAAUUUUCCAACUAAAAUUACGUUUCCAGAAAUGCAAUGUUUGCAACAUUUUCAGGGCUACAAAAGUGACUGUGGAUGACAAAUGGACCCCAGAUAACCCUUGCUAUUUCUGUAAUGACUGCUAUUACCUUCUUCACUACUCUGAGA